rnacentral:rRNA from 1 species
GAUGAACGCUGGCGGCGUGCCUAAUACAUGCAAGUCGAGCGAACGGAUGAGAAGCUUGCUUCUCUGAUGUUAGCGGCGGACGGGUGAGUAACACGUGGAUAACCUACCUAUAAGACUGGGAUAACUUCGGGAAACCGGAGCUAAUACCGGAUAAUAUUUUGAACCGCAUGGUUCAAAAGUGAAAGACGGUCUUGCUGUCACUUAUAGAUGGAUCCGCGCUGCAUUAGCUAGUUGGUAAGGUAACGGCUUACCAAGGCAACGAUGCAUAGCCGACCUGAGAGGGUGAUCGGCCACACUGGAACGGAGACACGGUCCAGACUCCUACGGGAGGCAGCAGUAGGGAAUCUGACGCAAUGGGCGAAAGCCUGACGGAGCAACGCCGCGUGAGUGAUGAAGGUCUUCGGAUCGUAAAACUCUGUUAUUAGGGAAGAACAUAUGUGUAAGUAACUGUGCACAGCUUGACGGUACCUAAUCAGAAAGCCACGGCUAACUACGUG